rnacentral:rRNA from 1 species
GCUCGCAUUGAUUACGUCCCUGCCCUUUGUACACACCGCCCGUCGCACCUACCGAUUGAAUGAUUCGGUGAAAAUUCUGGACUGUGGCUCGGACGCCUUCGGGCGACCUUGCUGUGGGAAGUUAUUUAAACCUCAUCAUUUAGAGGAAGGUGAAGUCGUAACAAGGUUUCCGUAGGUGAACCUGCGGAAGGAUCAUUACCACACCCUCAAAUA